rnacentral:lncRNA from 10 species
GGGAGAGAGGCCAAUUAGGCCAUGAUUGCUCUGAGGAUGGGAAGUACGUGAAUGUGGAAUCUUGGGGCAAUAGAACGGACAGAACGUAGUGUAGCAAAGCUUCUCUCCAUAACGUUCCUCUGGCCAAGUGAGAAACAUGAAGAUUAGAAGUGCAGCACAUGCCUUCUGAAGAAGCCAGGCAUGGAACAGUUCUGGGAACACAGCACUGAUAAAACUCUUAGGGAUGAAUUUACCUAUACCUGUGUUUCAGCCUUGUGAUCUGAUUAGUACUCUCACCUUUUGGAAGAUGAGUUUCUUGCCCUUGAUGCCCAUCCAUGCUUGAGCAAGAAAGAGGAAAAGAAAGAUGGAAGCUGAGGAAUGAUGAAGACAAUGGAAUCAAAGGCAAUUGAUCCCGCCACAUUUGAAGAACCACAAAAGGAGGCUGAGUGAGCUGAAAGAAAUACACAAGUGGAUCAGCAACAUGACAGCUGCUGCAGUGAAAUCUGGAUUGUAAUAUGUCAGUUUCCAACCCAUCACAUACAAUCCAGACAGAGACAUAGCUUUUUGUCUGCCUCGUUGUGAUUUCCCUGUCUGGUGCGGUUUGGGUCACAUCUGUUGGCUGCAUUCUCAUCUUCAUGAGAUCUGCAUUGACUGAUAGUUUAAACCCCAUGUUUAUCUAUGUCUGCGGCUCUUAUUUCUCUCACAGGGAAGUCUCCAGAGAAGCCCAGUAUCCCCUGAUGUGAGAAUCUUGCUUGGUUUUAUUAAUCAACAGCCAGUGCCCACAUUCAGGCAGUUCUGUAUGUUUCAUGCUAGGAUAUUGGGUGUGUUUGUUACAUAUGUCUUUCAACAUUUAUUAUAUCAGAAAAAAUUUGAUAAAAACAUAAACCUACUUCCUGAAUAUAUCACACUGAUUUAAAACAGAACUUCUCACGAUGAACAACCCAAGCUCACUGUUUCUUUGACUUUUGCAUAUUUUCUACUCGUGCAUUAUUCUGUCAUUUCAUGAUAAAAUGAUUGAAAAACACUGCUUUAACCCUCCAAACUUGGCUAGUGGCUAUAUAAGGAUUUAAACUUCAGCAUGCCUGUCUAUGCUCAAGCCUUGGAAAUCCUUUUGCAUUUCAACCAUUGCUAAUGUUUCAUAUCUGCACAUUGAAUCUAACCCUUGAUUUCUUUUGUAGACAUAUGUAAUCUGAAGGCAUGCAACAUUUUGCAAAUGUUGGCCCAUAUUUUUAUUUCAUAAGGUCUUAUUUGGUCUGUCGACCAAGUUUUGAUUACUUCCAUAUUGCUCUUAAUUGCCUUAAUAUCCCCAAAGACUUUCCUAUUCUGUGCAUCCCUUUAUCUUUGCUUCUUUUAUCUCUUGCUGUGAGAGUACAAAAUUGCUGACAUAUUCAAUGUAUUUAAAUUCUGAGUGUUGCAGAAGAGUUUUCAAAUCUGUUUUAAUUUUCUGAUACUCAGCUGAGGACCAUUACACAUUCUGUUCAGCUAAUCUGUUUUUAAUCAUAUCUGUAAAUGCUAAAGUUGUACAUGAGAGAAAUGAUGCAUAAAGUAAAACCAGACCAAGUGUACUUUCGCAUAUGUAAAACUAAAUUCUUACUUUCUUCCACUUACAAGUUUUAUUUUCCUAUAGUCGUGUAGUCUUGACUUACACCAGAAUUUAUCUGCCAAGAGUUUAUGGUACUGUAGUGAAAAAAUCCCGACUUUUUCAUGUUUAAAAUAUUUAUCGAUUAGUACUUAUCCCCUUGCUAUCAUAAUAAAAUUUGAUGAACGUAAAUGUACUUUUAAUUCCAUUUCAUAAUGUAUCAGCUAAGAUAUAUUCAGUCAUAAAUAACUAAUAAUUGCAUUAAUAGUGGUAUUGGCCAUAAAGACAGUUGCUAACUUAACAUAAAU